rnacentral:lncRNA from 1 species
GGAGCACCCGUGUCUGUUUGACGUUUCAUACAGAAAGUUAUAAAAGAAAGUAGAUGAGAUUGCUUAUUCCCUUUAAACCCAGCCUAAUGGAGAAAUCGCGAGCUAUGGAAAACGAUGCACAUUUGUCUGGCAAGCGAUGAAAUAACCACACACAAUGGAGUAUAUGUGCUGCCGAAGCAAGCACGAACCAAGAGCUGGAGGGAGAGCUAUAUAUACCAGGGACUUCUGGGCAUGCGCAGAACAUUCCCCCCUCCUUGAUGACCAGAACAAAAGACGCCGAGAGCAGGAAACUCGUCUUACUGAAUGACCGAGGCUGGAGAAACGCUGAGAGACUUGAAGCCUAAAAGAUCACAAAACACAGCAAAGCACAACUCGUAACAGCCUUUGGAAACAUGAAGAACAUUCCCCCCAGC